rnacentral:rRNA from 1 species
UACGAAGGGGGCUAGCGUUGCUCGGAAUCACUGGGCGUAAAGCGCACGUAGGCGGCUUUUUAAGUCAGGGGUGAAAUCCUGGAGCUCAACUCCAGAACUGCCUUUGAUACUGAAGAUCUUGAGUUCGGGAGAGGUGAGUGGAACUGCGAGUGUAGAGGUGAAAUUCGUAGAUAUUCGCAAGAACACCAGUGGCGAAGGCGGCUCACUGGCCCGAUACUGACGCUGAGGCACGAAAGCGUGGGGAGCAAACGGG